rnacentral:rRNA from 1 species
AUUGAACGCUGGCGGCAUGCCUUACACAUGCAAGUCGAACGGCAGCACGGGGCAACCUGGUGGCGAGUGGCGAACGGGUGAGUAAUGCAUCGGAACGUACCUUUCAGUGGGGGAUAACGUAGCGAAAGUUACGCUAAUACCGCAUAUUCUGUGAGCAGGAAAGCAGGGGAUCGCAAGACCUUGCGCUGAUUGAGCGGCCGAUGUCAGAUUAGCUAGUUGGUGAGGUAAAGGCUAACCAAGGCGACGAUCUGUAGCGGGUCUGAGAGGAUGAUCCGCCACACUGGAACUGAGACACGGUCCAGACUCCUACGGGAGGCAGCAGUGGGGAAUUUUGGACAAUGGGGGCAACCCUGAUCCAGCCAUGCCGCGUGAGUGAAGAAGGCCGUCGGGUUGUAAAGCUCUUUCGGCCGGGAAGAAAUCGUAUCAGCUAAUACCUGGUGCGGAUGACGGUACCGGCAUAAGAAGCACCGGCUAACUACGUGCCAGCCGCCGCGGUAAUAC